rnacentral:rRNA from 1 species
AGCCUGAACGCUGGCGGCGUGGCUAAGACAUGCAAGUCGCACGGACUGCAGCAAUGCAGUCAGUGGCGGACGGGUGAGUAAUGUAUCGCUAACGUACCCUGGACUCUGGGAUAGCUAAUCGAAAGGUUAGGUAAUACCAGAUGAGACCACAAGCCGCAUCGGCUGGUGCUCAAAGGUCCGCC